GGUCCCAGCUUUGUUGAUGUCUCGUCAUUGUUGGUAAUCAGACCUACUACUGUUGUGUAGUAUAGUAUUUAAAUUCCCUCUUUACAAAAUCUGCACUAAUUCAUGAACACACGCGUGUACGUUUACAUAAAAUAUCACACUUCUAUGAAACAAAUGUUUCCCCCCCCAAAAUAAAAUAAAUACUACCGCGUUACCCACUCCAGUCAGCAGAUGGCAGAUGUGCAGAUUUCAGGCGAUACUUCUAGUGUGACGUCUAAUGUAGUGGACGGGACACUUCAUCAACAGUAACAACCGUUCGUCGGCCACCUCCGUAUCCAACAUUAUCGAAAACAGUCACUGUGUUUUAAACAUACUUCUGUCGUGUCUACUUGUUUGCCCAUUUAAUGUAACGUUAAUAGUUACGUUGUUUGUCAGGUAGCUAGCUUGCUAAAUUAGUUUUGCACUAGGCUAAUCGCUAAUGCUAAGUAGCUAGCUAGUUAACAUCCCCGACCAUGAGUUCACUAAGCUACUCCACUCCUGCUGAAGAAGAAGAGGUCUGCUGGACGGAGAAAGAAGAAGAGGCUGACACAGUUAAACAAGAAGUAGAGGAUGAGUCUGUUACUGUGAAAGAAGAAGCGAUUGAAGCUUUCAGAGUGAAAGAAGAGGAGGCUGUUACAGUGAAAGAAGAGGAGGCUGUUACAGUGAAAGAAGAGGAGGCAGUUACAGUGAAAGAAGAGGAGGCUGUUACAGUGAAAGAAGAGGAGGCUGUUACUGUGAAAGAAGAGGAGGCUGUUACUGUGAAAAAAGAGGAGGCUGUUACUGUGAAAGAAGAGGAGGCUGUUAUAGUGAAAGAAGAGAAAGAAGCUUUCAGAGUGAAAGAGGAGGAUGUUACUGUUAAACAAGAGGAGGAAGAAGUUUUUGGAGUGAAGAUGGAGGGGCAGAUUACUGUCACGUUGAAAGAGGAAGAAGAGGAGGGGCAGAUUACUGUCACGUUGAAAGAGGAAGAAGAGGAGGGGCAGAUUACUGUCACGUUGAAAGAGGAGGAAGAGGAGGGGCAGAUUACUGUCACGUUGAAAGAGGAGGAAGAGGAGACGGGAGAUCUGAGUAACACCAAUGAAGCUGAGGGCCUCUCUUUACCAAAACACACAUUUCUCAUUACCGCAUCAUUUUUAGGCUCGUUUCGUUAAUGAGAAUAAGUUAAUAAAAUCUUCAGUGGCUGUGCUAGUAACUUUCAUUAUUUACUAGGACCACCUAUUGCAUAGGUGAAAGCAGUAGGGGUUAAAUAGGGGUUGUCAAUAAACAUGGGUGUAUAAACCCCAUGUAAUUAACAUAAAGCCACAAUCUGGAGUUUGUGUUAUAGCAAAGAGCAACCCCACCACUUAAAGAAGGAUAUCCCCCUAUUUUGACAUGAGCACCUGUUAUAACACCUAUAGUGUUGUUAGAUAUCCUACCUGUUAUAACACCUACCUAUAGUGUUGUUAGAUAUCCUACCUGUUAUAACACCUACCUAUAGUGUUGUUAGAUAUCCUACCUGUUAUAACACCUACCUAUAGUGUUGUUAGGUAUCCUACCUGUUAUAACACCUACCUAUAGUGUUGUUAGAUAUCCUACCUGUUAUAACCCCUACCUAUAGUGUUGUUAGAUAUCCCACCUGUUAUAACCCCUACCUAUAGUGGGGCUUGGGGGUUGAAGCUGUUUAGAAGCCUCUUGGACCUAGACUUGGCGUUCCGGUACCGCUUGCCGUGCGGUAGCAGAGAGAACAGUCUAUGAUUAGGGUGGCUGGAGUCUUUGACAUUUUUUAGGGCCUUCCUCUGACACCACCUAGUAUAGAGGUCCUGGACGGCAGGAAGCUUGGCCCCAGUGAUGUACUGGGCCGUUCGCACUACCCUCUGUUGUUCCUUGCCGGCGGAGGUCAAGCAGUUGCCAUACCAGACAGUGAUGCAACCAGUCAGGAUGCUCUCGCUGGUGCUGCUGUAGGACCUUUCUCCUGAGGGGGAAUAGGUUUUACCGUGCCCUCUUCACAGGUGUCUUGGUGUGCUUGGACCAUGUUAGUUUGUUGAUGAUGUGGAAAACCAAGGAACUUGAAGCUCUCAACCUGCUCCACUGCAGCCCCAUCGAUGAGAAUGGGGGUGUGCUCGGUCCUCUUUUUCCUGUAGUCCAUAAUCAUCUCCUUUGUCUUGAUCACGUUGAGGGAGAGGUUGUUGUCCUGGCACCACAUGGACAGGUCUCUGACCUCCUCCCUGUCGGCUCAAACUGAAUUAUUCCACUGUUCUAUCGUUUGCAACAUACUUCAGUCUGAGGGUGUGAUUUUAACUGACUGGUCCGGAAGGGCCCAUACAGAUCUGAACGUGGAGUAGAGAGAGAAGGGCCCAUACAGAUCUGAACGUGGAGUAGAGAGAGAAGGGCCCAUACAGAUCUGAACGUGGCUUCUGCAGUAGAGAGAGAAGGGCCCAUACAGAUCUGAACGUGCAGUAGAGAGAGAAGGGCCCAU
rnacentral:lncRNA from 13 species